CCUCCUAACGCAGCCUGCUGAAAGUCGCUCCCCUCCGCUUGUUCGGUCCAGUGCCCAAACGCAGCAGGCUCUUAUCAGUGCCUUCAGGAGCCCAGCAAAUCCUGCUCAGCUCAGGGAUGAAGGUGUCUGCAAAGCACACGCAACACAGGAAACUAAGUGCCUUCUCUGUUGCAAGAAAGAUUUUUGUCUAAACUUUCUGCCUUUCUCUCUUCUCAAAAUGCAAUGUGUCAGUAUGAUAUUAUUGAUGCAAGUCAGUCCCUGCCUGCACUUUGAGCUGCUCCACCUUGAGCAGGGACAAACUCCAGCCUGAUUAAUCCUGCACACUGUCCGUGGAAUAACCAAGUCCUACAGACACUGACGUGACUGCAACAAUAAUGGGAUCGGAUGGGUGUCUACCCUGCCCUGGAAAGCAGAAAAACCCAUACUGACUGUUUUCAUUGGGUAAUUAUUAUUUUUUAAUUUGGUUCCAGUAAAAAGAGUCUCUAUAUUCAAGCCUAACAUUGUUAAAUGUUAAUGCUGCCCACAGUGCUUAGUGUGCUUCUUUCCAUAAACUGAACAAAGCGGCUGUGCUCUCUUGCCAGCCACAGAUUUAUUGAGGUAUGGAUUACACAUAUUAAACACAGUCAUCAGGCCACAAAGGUUCCAUCACAAUCUGCCUACGAGCUAACAUCAUUAAGAGGCAGACUUCAUAUAUCUUCAUGACUGAUAUGCUGAUCUUUCCCACUCCAUUGACUAAUGAAUUGACACACACAAUGUUCUUCAACAUUAGUGUGCAUGCUUUUGAUUUACAGCACUGAAGUACAGGGCUGUAAGCUUUCAGAUGCUGAUGAAUUCCAGACAGCA
rnacentral:lncRNA from 1 species